CCUACGGGAGGCAGCAGUGGGGAAUAUUGCACAAUGGGGGAAACCCUGAUGCAGCGACGCCGCGUGAGUGAAGAAGUAAUUCGGUAUGUAAAGCUCUAUCAGCAGGGAAGAAAAUGACGGUACCUGAGUAAGAAGCCCCGGCUAACUACGGGCCAGCAGCCGCGGUAAUACGUAGGGGGCAAGCGUUAUCCGGAUUUAAUGGGUGUAAUGGGAGCGUAGACGGCAGUGCAAGUCUGGAGUGAAAGGCGGGGGCUCAACCCCCGGACUGCUCUGGAAACUGUACGGCUGGAGUGCAGGAGAGGUAAGUGGAAUUCCGAGUGUAGCGGUGAAAUGCGUAGAUAUUAGGAGGAACACCAGUGGCGAAGGCGGCUUACUGGACUGUAACUGACGUUGAGGCUCGAAAGCGUGGGGAGCAAACAGGAUUAGAUACCCGAGUAGUC
rnacentral:rRNA from 1 species